rnacentral:misc_RNA from 1 species
UAUUUCUAAAAUGUUUUAAAGCUUAAAUAGGAUUGUUGUGCAAUUGAACUGGCAUUAGAUUAAACUGUAUCAAGUGGCACUCAAUAUUAAAAUGAAUUAAAGUAUAAUUUAUCGUAACCGGGAUAGUCGGCGCUCAGGUUUCGCCGGGUGUGGGAAGUGAGAAGCUUGCUCAUGACCUUCAAGAAAAAACGCCGUUAGAGUCCUCCUUCCGGCGCUGGGUAAGACUGCAGGUCAGUGGAAGCUUUCUCACUUCUCUUCACGAUUUCUAUAUAUCGUUGCAUAAAAACAUACCGCUUCGAUGGCGAACCCUAAGCUUCGCUCUUUGUUAUGGUGGAGAAAGUGGGCCAAGAAAGAUUGGGCGAUUGCAGCCGUCGGAUUCACCAUCUUCAUCUCCGCUCUUGCUUUUCUUUUCGAUUCACGAACCAACGAUCUCGAUAUCAGCACUGCCGAAGAUCUCGUUGACUUAACCUUACUGCAAAAUGCCAAAGAUAGAGGCGCUUUUUGCUUAGAUGGGAGUUCGCCUGGUUACCAUUUCCAGGAGGGAUUUGGAUCUGGUUCUAGAAAUUGGCUAUUGCACAUUGAGGGUGGAGGGUGGUGCAAUACCAUAGAGUCAUGUUUGCAUCGAAAAACGACACCGUUAGGAUCCUCCAAGUACAUGCAACGCCAGAUUCCUUUUGCCGGAGUAAUGAGCCGGAAACCAUCUCAGAAUCCUGAUUUCUUCAACUGGAACAAAGUCUAUAUACGUUACUGUGAUGGUGCAUCUUUUGCUGGCCAUACUGAAAGUGAGUUGAAGAAUGUCACAAAUCUUUACUUCAGUGGCCAGCUCAUUUGGGAAUCUGUUAUGGAUGAACUUUUAUCAAUAGGGUUGUCCAAUGCCAAUCAGGUAGCUUUUGCUUGUACUUUGUUUUUUGCUGAGGGGGAAAAAUUUUACAUAAGAUGCCCCUGAGCAUGAUUUUGUAAAUGGAAAACUCUGACUUCUAGGUGAUUUUGUUGUCAUGCUUCUUCGCUGAUUGUUUCAGGGAGUUUAUUCUGUUUGCUUCUUUUUUAUUUUUCUUUCCCUAUUUUAUUCUUUGUCAAAUAGUUUAUUUUUGAAAUUUUAUAAAUUUUGCUACACAUUAUUCAAUUUGUUGUAAGUACUGUCCAUUUGUGCUGAUUCAUGCCAAAACCUUGCAGGCUCUUCUUUCAGGAUGCUCUGCCGGAGGAUUGGCAACUCUUAUUCAUUGUGAUAACUUUCGAGAUCUUAUGCCAAAGGAUGCUACUGUAAAAUGCCUUGCUGAUGCAGGAUUUUUCCUUGAUGAGAAAGAUAUUCUUGGAAACUACACCAUGAGAUCUUUCUACCAUGAUGUUGUCCACCUUCAGGUUUUGCUUCCUUUUCAUAUAUAUAUAUGUUCUGUCUAGAUGUUGCUUAGUUGCUAAUCUUGCUUUAUUUUUAUUGAUUUAUCUCUAAUGGGUGAUUUACAUAAAUAAUAUGCAUGAUGAUUCAGAUCUUCCGUGUGAUGGAUAAACAUAAGUUGGUGGUGUACUGAUUUAAAAUUAGAUCUGAACUAGCUUUUCAUCAUUUGAAUUAGCAUCUGGUAUAGUUUGGGUUUUUCUUUUUGGUGCCUGUGUUGCAGUUCUGUGUUUAUUUUAAUUGACAGUUAUGAAUUCUCAUGUAAAUAAAGAUGGUAAAUUUAUCAGUUGUAGUUGAUAUCACUUGUUUAUCUGCCAUGCUUUCAGGGUGUUUCUAAAAGUUUGCCCAAGGACUGUACUUCAAGAAUGGACUCAUCCAAGUGUCUUUUUCCUCGAGAAAUUAUUAAAGGCAUAAGAACGCCACUAUUCCUAGUCAACCCAGCUUAUGAUUAUUGGCAGAUACAACACAUCUUGGUACCAGAUGGAUCAGAUGUUCACGGCCAUUGGCAAAAGUGCAGAAUGAACCUUCAGUAUUGUAAUCCUAGUCAGAUUGAGAAAUUACAAGGUAAUUGUUUUCAACUCUAGAACCCCAAAUAAUUUGGUAUUUUUAUAGUAAAUCUUAGAACUAACAUUAUCAAGAGUGAUGAAACAAAAAUUUAAAAACAAAAAUUGUUUUUCUGAUAUCUAUUGUGGCAGCAGGCUGUGAACAUGCAAGACCUUACUUUCAGUGGCUGAAAGUUGGUCAACAGGGCAGGACGCAACCAUAUGAAAAUAUUUUACUUUUCUGGAAUUUGGGAGACUACAUUUUAUGGCAUAAUAAUAUGAUGAGUGGAUUUGUUAUGGUCAUCUAAGAUAUGAUCAAAGGUAUUAGGCUUAUCUUAGAAGUUUACAGUUUGGACUCGGAAAUAAGAUGGGUGAGAGAUCACUGAAUGGUGUGUGCAUGCACAAUGGUAAAGACUUGGGUUCUUGGUUUAUCUUGCUCCUGCUUUAGAACUGCAUUCUGGCACAGACCAAUAAAAGAUGGCAUGAAAUACCUGCAAAUUGUGGAUCUUGUUGCCUAAUACAUUAUCAAGAAAGCAAUAUUAGUUUCUCAUUAUUUAUUUCUGAUUACUGAUAUUGUUUCUGCUUGUCAACUUACCAUAUACAGAUUUCCGUAGUUCUCUGCUGAAUGCACUGAGUGAUUUCCAGCAAAACAAGGAAGGGGGGAUGUUCAUAAAUUCUUGCUUUAUUCAUUGCCAAACAUGGAUGGCUAACACAUGGCAUUCACCUACUUCUCCGAAAAUCAACAAUAAGACCAUUGCAGAGGCCGUAGGUGACUGGUACUUCAACCGUAGAGUGGUGAACGAAGUUGACUGCCCUUAUCCGUGCAACCCCACUUGCUAUAACAUGGAAUUUGCUUGAUUUCGGCAAUAGCUCUGCACUUCCAAAGCAUCUUUGGGUUACACUUUGUUCUAAAGUCUGACCGUCACUCUUUGAAAUUGUAACUUUCUAUGUCCAAGGCUUGAUCCCAGAUGCUGGUAAGGAAGUUAAGGUUUGCAGAAACACUGCACAUGGUUAAUUGAAUGGUAUUAGUUGGGGAGAAGACAUUUCUUACAUUGCUGCUUUGGGUUGGUUCAUGCUACCCAGGUGUUGUCGUGGGAUUGAAGCUGAUGGCUUAAUAUACUUUAAUGUAUUCUUGUAUAAUAUUAGUUCACUAGGCCUAGACAUUAAAUUUCGAUGUCUCUUGAAAUCACUGAACCUUGAUUUCUCGUUUACCUAAAACCUCUUGUACCAAAGCCAGGCCAAAUUCAGACAAAAAAAAAUGAUAG